AAACUGCAAAGGCAGGAGGAGAGGCUGGUUCACUGCAAAGGCACAUCAAUUAAAAUGCAAAAGCCACAAGCAAAUCUUCAGUGGAUGGAUGGCGUCACAUAUUGGUUACAAUCUUGAUGGCUAUCAAAAGCGUACCCAAAGUUCCUGCCAUUAGAAGCACCAAUGAUGUCAAGGAAAUCCUGCAAUGUUUGAAGACCAUUGAUAAUUGCAAAAUUCUGGCUUUAGAGGUGCUUUGGACUCCACAGGAUGAGAAUGAUACUUUGUCAGAGCAGGAAUUGCUAACAAAUUACCCAUCUUUGAGGUCAAUAACUACAUCUUGAUGUUAUCCGUUCAGACAUGAUGAAGAAGAUCCCGGUGAACGGCAAUGCCAUAACUCAUAAGGAGCUAUAAGCUAGCUAGAUUGACUAUCUUCUAAUUAUUUCUGGUGUUUAUUUGUUCUCAAGCUUAUGAUUAUCUCUUCAUAUUUAAAUUUCAUAAGCCAAAUCCAUCACUAGAUAAUCUCGUUAAGCAAUGUUAAUAAUCAAAAUACAUGAUGAUGCAGCAGAUUAGAUUACUGAUU